rnacentral:rRNA from 1 species
GAUGAACGCUGGCGGCGUGCCUAAUACAUGCAAGUCGAGCGAACAGACGAGGAGCUUGCUCCUCUGACGUUAGCGGCGGACGGGUGAGUAACACGUGGAUAACCUACCUAUAAGACUGGGAUAACUUCGGGAAACCGGAGCUAAUACCGGAUAACAUGUUGAACCGCAUGGUUCAAUAGUGAAAGACGGUUUUGCUGUCACUUAUAGAUGGAUCGGCGCCGCAUUAGCUAGUUGGUAAGGUAACGGCUUACCAAGGCAACGAUGCGUAGCCGACCUGAGAGGGUGAUCGGCCACACUGGAACUGAGACACGGUCCAGGCUCCUACGGGAGGCAGCAGUAGGGAAUCUUCCGCAACGGGCGAAAGCCUGACGGAGCAACGCCGCGUGAGUGAAGAAGGUCUUCGGAUCGUAAAACUCUGUUAUUAGGGAAGAACAAAUGUGUAAGUAACUAUGCACGUCUUGACGGUACCUAAUCAGAAAGCCACGGCUAACUACGUG